GGAUGAUAGAUGAAUGAAUAGAUGGAGGGAUGGGUGGUAGAUGGAUGGGUGGUGAAUGGAUGAUAGAUGAAUGGAUGGAUGGUAAAUGGGAGGAUAGAUGUGAGUGGAUGAAUGAUGAACAGAUGGAUGAAUGGGUGAUGGAUGGUGGAUGGUAGAUGGAUGGAUGGGUGGAUGGAUUGGUGGUGGAUGAUAAUUGGGUAGAUAGAUGGUUGGAUGGGUGGUGGGUGGAUGUGGAUGGUAGAUGAAUGGAUCGAUGGUAGAUGGGUGGUGGAUGGAUGAAUGAUGGACAGAUGAAUGAAUGAGUGGAUGGUAGAUGGAUGGACGGAUGGAUGGGUGGUGGAUGGUAAUUGGGUAGAUAAAUGGUGUUGGAUGGGGGGUGGAUGGAUGUAGAUGGUAGAUGAAUGGAUAGAUGGGAGAUGGGUGGAUGGAUAGUGGAUCGAUGACGAAUAGGUGUAUGAAUGGGUGGUGGGUGGAUGAUGGAUGGAUGGAUGGAUGGAUGGAUGGAUGGAUGGAUGGAUGGAUGGUGGAUGGUGGAUGGUUAGACAGAUGGUGGUUGGAUGGGUGAUGGAUACAUGAAUGGGUGGUGGAUGGUCAGAUGAAGACACUGGGCCCAGCUAUUACUCAGAUACCUCUCUGAGGUAGAUACAGCACUAACAUUUGAAAUGCAUGCUAUUGGCAUAAAUUGUGGUUGCUAUUCUUCCAAAUUAAACAGAGGGGUAUCCACUGGGAGCAAAACAGACAAAAAAUGGGUCCUCCAGGACCCUUUUAAAUAUCUGUGGAAUGGAAGCAAUGAAGUUAUGUUUCUCCAAAAUGAAUUAAUCUGUGAAGAGUUCCUUGAGAAUCUUGGAUUAAAAUUGCUCUUUUAGAGCCAAGACUAACACAUAUCUUACAUAAAAGUGAAAAGAAUCUUUUCAGCUCCCCCCUCCCCAAAUAGAUUACUGUAUCCAGUCAACAAAAUCUUAUCUUAAACCUCCAAAGAAUUACAUGAGCUCUCCUUAAAUUUUACUCUUUAAUUAAGAGACCAGUUUGAGGUUAGCCAGAUCUGGGGCUUUGACGUAGCAGUCGCCAAACCUCAGCGACAGGCCUGGUUUCCAUCUCUGUGAUAUUAAUCUUUUGAAGGCCAAACAUUCUCCUUAAUAAAAGCAUUUCAUGUGCCUUACUCUUAGCAGAUGCCUAAUGACUGCUUAGAGAAGGAAAGAAGGAAAACCCAAUGAAUCUAAAGAAUCGAGAUAGACUGAGUUCCCUACACCAAAUGGCUCACGUACGAAAGGAACCAUUGUCUUCUAAAAACUGACCCUUGGCUAUGUGUGCUGCCAGUCACUCCUGGGGGUUGGGGCAGACCAGGCCCACUGCUACCUCAUCUUCCUUCUAGCCUGAGCUUCUGUUGAUGUCAUCCCUGUCGGACCCUGGAUGAGAAAGAAAACGGGAACAACACGAGGAAGACGAGACAUCUUCCCCAGUGAGAAAUCUGCAAGUGUGCCAUUUUAGAGUUCGUGGUAACAUCUUUUCUUUGUUCUUUUUUUUAAUUUAAUUUAAUUAAUUUUUUUUUUUUUUUUGAGACGGAGUCUCACUCUUGUUGCCCAGACUGGAGUGCAAUACCAUAAUCUCGGCUCACUGCAACCUCCGCCUCCUGGAUUAAAGCAAUUCUCCUGUCUCAGCCUCCUGAGUAGCUGGGAUUACAGGCACCCACCACCACGCCUGGCUAAUUUUUGUAUUUUUAGUAGAGACGGGGUUUCACCAUAUGGGCCAGGCUGGUCUUGAACUCCUGACCUCAGAUGAUCCGCCCACCUCAGACUCCCAAAGUGCUGGGAUUGCAGGCAUGAGCCACCGCACCCAGUCAUCUUUUCUUUGUUCUAACAGUUCUAGCAAAGCACUGUUCCUCUCUGCAAGCAGGGAAACUCCUAGAGUACUAGGCUAUGUUUGGGAGGCCAAGGUGGGAGGAUCAAUCUGGGUCAGGAGUUUGAGACCAGUCUGAGCAACAGAGAGAGAUCCUCCCCAUCUCUUCAAAAAAUACAAAAUUAUCUGGGCAUGGUGUUGCACACCUGUAGUGCCAGCUGAAGGAGGGACUAAGGCAGGAGGCAGGAGGAUCACCUGAGCCCAGGAGCUCAAGACUGCAGUGAGCCACGAUUGCACCACACUCCAGCCUGGGCAACAGAGCAAGACCCUGUCGAGAAGGAAAGGAGAGGAGAGGAGAGGAGAAGAUUUAAUGUAGGGUCGAAUGAUUUAUUAUCAUUUAAUUUUUAAAAAGACAAAGGUUAAAAGAGAUUCUAUUGUUCAGUAUGAUUCACUUGCUAAGUGUUGUGAAGGGCCUGUAAUUCAGGUCCCUAAUGACCCAUGAAACCAAAUGCCCUGGUGAGUCAACCUCAAAAAUUACCUAGUCAUCUGAUAAGUAUUAAGCACAAACAAAAAACACUUGUUAAAAGCUGCAGACAGUAUCAAUGUGUAUUAUUAGCCAGUUAUAACUCAAGCCUUUAAAACCAGGCAAGUCACAAUAGGCUCUUCAAACACCUUUCUGACAUAACUAAGGCAAUCAGCCCAUUGCGCCAUAACCAGAAGACAAUAUCUAAUGGCAAUUGCCAUGUAUAGUGUGAAGGCCUUUCCUUGUGGAUUCAGAAUGGAGCAUGGACCACAAUUCUCAGAAGCGACUUCUAGAGAGAUGUUGGGUGUAAUGCCAGCCAUUGUUACAAUAGGACAUUGCAUUUUAUACCUGAGAUCACUGACUGGUUGUCAUCAGAUAGAAUCAUGUAGUCCCCUGUUGUACAAACAGAACAUUCUGAUGACUAUUCAUUAAGUGAAAUAUAAUGGAACACUUAAAGUGACCCCAAGAUUAAACCCUUAUUUGGGGUUUGUCUAAUGACUAAUGGUCACUACCACCAGUUUGGAGACAUUACAACAAAACUCUGCUGCUGACAAAAAUAUUAACCAUAAAUGAUGAGAAAUUUUCAGUUGGGACCAAAAGAACAUCUGGAGGCCAUUAAAGCAGGAGAAUUUUCCCUCUAUGUCCUGAUUGCCAAACUUAGAACCAACCACCCAGAAACUGUGGCCCUCAUGCUAACUCAAUGUUUAUAUUUCAUUAAAAACGAUUUCAAGGGUUUGCGUCUUGCACUUCAUGGCCCAACUCCCAUGCAUACAGCUUUUCAUCUCACUGAGCAUGUCCUGGAGCAGACGAGCAUUCCUCACCUCUUGGUUUCAGAAGAAGGAGCUUCUUGGGGAAUAAUUCCAGGUUCUUUUUUUGCAUCUAUAAUCUAAUCAAGAAUCUGUAGGUCCUACCAUCCUAGGAUAAAUGAGGAGAAGAAAACAAGGAUGCAAGACCCAACAAUAAAAAUAUUAGAAUUUUAAAAAUACUAUACUAGAGUUUGCUUUUAAAUACCUAGUAAAGCUACAAUAAGUCAUGAAAUUGAUGAAUGGAAAGUUAUAUAAUUUCAGCUGUAUAUUAGUUGCUUUUUGCUGCUAUAACAAAUCACCACAAACUUUGUGACUUAAGACAGAUGUAGCCAGGCACGGUGGCUCAUGCCUGUAAUCCCAGCACUUUAGAAGGCUGAGGCAGGCGGAUCACCUGAGGUCAGGCAUUCAAGACCAGCCUGGCCAAGAUGAUGAAACCUCAUCUCUACUAUAAAUACAAAAAUUAGCUGGGCAUGGUGGCACCUAUAAUUCCAGCUACUCGGGCGGCUAAGGCAGGAGAAUCAGUGAGUCGAGAUCACACCACUGCACUCCAGCCUGGGCAACAGAGCAAGACUCCAUCUCAAAAAAGGAAAAAACAAAACAAGACGGAUAUAUUACCUUACAGUUCUUGAAGUUAGAAGUCCAACACAGGUUGCACUGGACUAAAAUCAGGGCAUCAGCUGGGCUGCAUUCCUUUCUGGAGGUUCUAGGGGGAAAUCUAUUUCUUUGUCUUUUAGCUCCUUGCAGCUGCUCCAUUCCUUUGUUUAUGGCCUAUUCUCCAUUUUCAAAGCCAGCAAAGUUGCAUCUUUUUAACUUUUCUUCUGCAGGAAUAUCGCCUUCCAACUAUGGCAAGAAAAGGUUGUCUGAUUUUGAAGAUUUGUGUGAUUCAUUUAGGCCCACUAAAAUAAUCCAAGAUAAUCUUCCCAUCUCAAGAUUCUUAAUUUAAUCACAUCUGCAAAGUUCCUUACAAAAGCAACAUAUUCACAAAUUGCAGGGAUUAGGACGUGGACAUCUUUGGGGGAUCCAUAUUCUGCCUAUCACAAGCUAUUUCCAGACUCCAAGUAGUAAAGAGAGUUGAAAUUCAAAAGCUCAUCAGUCACCUUUUUUCACUGUCAUUCCUUUUAGCAUUGAGUUUUACCUUAGGAAAUAGGACAGAUGUUUUCAAUACCUAAAACCUUAAACAUAGAACAAUUUUACAAAUGUCAUGAAACCAGAAUGAAUCUCUUGGCUGAAAGUUUUUCAAUUUUCAAAGAACUAAUUUUAAUUUUACUAGUAAAUUUGAAAUGGAUCCAGCUUGCCUGCUGUACUUUUAUAUGAGACACUAAAUCACGGUUCUUUGGAAACGGCAACAUUGAAAGCAUAAACUGUCAUUUUCCCAGAAUGUGUGGAAGGGCGGAUGUGGUUGAUAUAAUGUGUUUCUUAACACAUCUUUUCACCCUGAGCUCACUCCCACCAUGUGUUUAUAUGCACUGCAGGGCAUACAGCAGCCUUGGUCGGUGCACGUGUUCGCAAGUAGUUUCGCCUAUUUCUCAAGCAUAUAUUCCUACGGGUGCCUAGCAAAUGCCUUAGCUGAGGACAAGGUGUCCAAGGAAUAAGUACUUGCUGCUGUUUUCCAACACACACCACAAUUUCGGCUGAUUCUCAGCAAAGGGCAUUUCUUCUACUCUGGGAUCUGUGAAUUUGCUCAUGGUUUUUAACAACCUGCAGCCCGGCUCAAGUCAUAGUCUGGAUCCCAAUUUGAAAUUAGCUACAUUUUAUUAGUAAGUGUCCAGAAAUGGCUUGGCGGGUCAUUUUCUGUCUUGUAAAAUGUGGUUCUUAUUGGCAGUAACAUGCUUUUUGGGCACUGACUCAUGUUCUCUCUUCAAGCAAAUGAUUCCUUCAGGAGGCACACGCUAUAUCUAGGUUUGCUGUGUGCAACACAUCAGAUCCUGGCCAUAGGGUGACUUAGCAAAGGUACAGGCAGUUUAUUGCACACCUAUGUACACUUCAGGUCCCGUGCUAAGAGUUUUAAGGGCAUUAUCUCAUUUAACUUUACAAAACCCUGUAAGAUAGAAUCUGUUAAUCAUCCCAUUUUCAGACGAUGAAAGCAAGAUUUAAAAUGACUUGCACAACCUCAUGAAACCGACAUGCUUGGGCUGGACUAUAUUGAGACUAGGUGAGGUGAGUGAGCACUCAGUUUGGUGCAAAAUGUAAAGGAAAGCCAAAAGGCUCAGUAAGCAAGGUAAAGGAUAUUUCAGUGCAAUUUUUUAAAAAUGCAAAAUUAGUGAAAACAUUCCAUAGUAAAAUAUUAAAAUGUGAAAAAAAGACAGACUCUGACCUUAUACUGGGACUCAGCCUUAAUCACCUGACUCUAAUCCUGGCCCUGCUGAAUCCUGUCCCUUCCCUGGCUGGAAUUUGAACCCAAGGCUGGCUGAGGCUGAAGCCCAUGUUUGUACCCACUACUCUAUAGGAUGCAUCUGCCUCCUCUGCCAGCAGGGCAGCUGGGAGGUACUUAAAAUGCUUUUCAACAAUGAUGACAG
rnacentral:lncRNA from 10 species